rnacentral:rRNA from 1 species
UACGUAGGUGGCGAGCGUUGUCCGGAUUUAUUGGGCGUAAAGCGCGCGCAGGUGGUGCGGUAAGUCUGCCGUGAAAUCUCCCGGCUCAACUGGGAGGGGCGGUGGAGACUGCCGGACUAGAGGGACUCAGAGGCCGGUGGAAUUCCCGGUGUAGUGGUGAAAUGCGUAGAGAUCGGGAGGAACACCAGUGGCGAAGGCGGCCGGCUGGGGGUGCCCUGACGCUGAGGCGCGAAAGCGUGGGGAGCGAACCGGG